GACGUAGGGUGCGAGCGUUGUCCGGAUUUAUUGGGCGUAAAGAGCUCGUAGGCGGCUUGGCAAGUCGGGUGUGAAAACUUCAGGCUCAACCUGGAGCGGCCACUCGAUACUGCCAUGGCUUGAGUCCGGUAGGGGACCACGGAAUUCCUGGUGUAGCGGUGAAAUGCGCAGAUAUCAGGAGGAACACCGGUGGCGAAGGCGGUGGUCUGGGCCGGAACUGACGCUGAGGAGCGAAAGCGUGGGGAGCGAACAGG
rnacentral:rRNA from 1 species